AUUUGGACCGGACAUGGCGUGAAGGGUCAUUGUCCUGUUGGAACAUCCGACUGCGCCCAAGACCCAACCUCCGGGCUGAUGAUUUUAGGUUGUCCUGAAGAAUUUGGAGCAAAACAAGCCCAGAGCCUGACAUCACAUGGACAAAGAUAAAACCUUCUGGAGGGAAGUUCUGUGGUCAAAUGAAACAAAAAAUGAGCUGUUUGGCCACAAUACCCA